AUGAACGCUGGCGGCGUGCCUCAUACAUGCAAGUCGCGCGAACAGACGAGGAGCUUGCUCCUCUGACGUUAGCGGCGGACGGGUGAGUAACACGUGGAUAACCUACCUAUAAGACUGGGAUAACUUCGGGAAACCGGAGCUAAUACCGGAUAAUAUGUUGAACCGCAUGGUUCAAUAGUGAAAGACGGUUUUGCUGUCACUUAUAGAUGGAUCCGCGCCGCAUUAGCUAGUUGGUAAGGUAACGGCUUACCAAGGCGACGAUGCGUAGCCGACCUGAGAGGGUGAUCGGCCACACUGGAACUGAGACACGGUCCAGACUCCUACGGGAGGCAGCAGUAGGGAAUCUUCCGCAAUGGGCGAAAGCCUGACGGAGCAACGCCGCGUGAGUGAUGAAGGUCUUCGGAUCGUAAAACUCUGUUAUUAGGGAAGAACAAAUGUGUAAGUAACUAUGCACGUCUUGACGGUACCUAAUCAGAAAGCCACGGCUAACUACGUG
rnacentral:rRNA from 1 species